UGCAUCCCGGCUCCAUGGCGGAAGAGGGAAUUCAUUACCCUUCACUCAUCUAGGUACUGACUGCGCCCGAUGCUGCUUAACUUCGGUGAUCGGACGAGGACCGGUGUAUCCAGCGUGCUAUGGCCGUUA
rnacentral:rRNA from 1 species